rnacentral:rRNA from 1 species
GUGAGGAAUUUUCCGCAAUGGGCGAAAGCCUGACGGAGCAAUGCCGCGUGAAGGAUGAAGGCCUAUGGGUUGUAAACUUCUUUUCUCAGAAAAGAAUUAUGACGGUAUCUGAGGAAUAAGCAUCGGCUAACUCUGUGCCCGCAGCCGCGGUAAGACAGAGGAUGCAAGCGUUAUCCGGAAUGAUUGGGCGUAAAGCGUCUGUAGGUUGUUUAAAAAGUAUUCUGUCAAAGAUUAGGGCUUAACCCUAGAUAGGCAGAAUAAACUUUUAAGCUAGAGUUUGGUAGAGGCAGAGGGAAUUCCCGGUGGAGCGGUGAAAUGCGUAGAUAUCGGGAGGAACACCAAAGGCGAAGGCACUCUGCUGGGCCAAUACUAACACUGAGAGACGAAAGCGAGGGGAGCAAAUGGGAUUAGAAACCCCAGUAGUCC